rnacentral:rRNA from 1 species
GACGAACGCUGGCGGCGUGCUUAACACAUGCAAGUCGAACGGAAAGGCCCUGCUUUUGUGGGGUGCUCGAGUGGCGAACGGGUGAGUAACACGUGAGUAACCUGCCCUUGACUUUGGGAUAACUUCAGGAAACUGGGGCUAAUACCGGAUAGGAGCUCCUGCUGCAUGGUGGGGGUUGGAAAGUUUCGGCUGUUGGGGAUGGACUCGCGGCUUAUCAGCUUGUUGGUGGGGUAGUGGCUUACCAAGGCUUUGACGGGUAGCCGGCCUGAGAGGGUGACCGGCCACAUUGGGACUGAGAUACGGCCCAGACUCCUACGGGAGGCAGCAGAGGGGAAUAUUGCACAAUGGGCGGAAGCCUGAUGCAGCAACGCCGCGUGCGGGAUGACAGCCUUCGGGUUGUAAGCCGCUUUCGCCUGUGACGAAGCGUGAGUGACGGUAAUGGGUAAAGAAGCACCGGCUAACUACGUG